GCGUUGGUGGUUCAGUGGUAGAAUUCUCACCUUCUGUGUAGGAGAUCUGGCUUUGAUUUCCGGCCAAAGCA
rnacentral:tRNA from 1 species